rnacentral:rRNA from 2 species
GGUAUUGAUUGGUGCUUGCAUCAUGAUUUACAUUUGAGUGAGUGGCGAACUGGUGCGUAACACGUGGGAAACCUGCCCAGAAGCGGGGGAUAACACCUGGAAACAGAUGCUAAUACCGCAUAACAACUUGGACCGCAUGGUCCGAGUUUGAAAGAUGGCUUCGGCUAUCACUCUUGGAUGGUCCCGCGGCGUAUUAGCUAGAUGGUGGGGUAACGGCUCACCAUGGCAAUGAUACGUAGCCGACCUGAGAGGGUAAUCGGCCACAUUGGGACUGAGACACGGCCCAAACUCCUACGGGAGGCAGCAGUAGGGAAUCUUCCACAAUGGACGAAAGUCUGAUGGAGCAACGCCGCGCGAGUGAAGAAGGGUUUCGGCUCGUAAAACUCUGUUGUUAAAGAAGAACAUAUCUGAGAGUAACUGUUCAGGUAUUGACGGUAUUUAACCAGAAAGCCACGGCUAACUACGUGCCAGCAGCCGCGGUAAUACGUGGUGGCAAGCGUUGUCCGGAUUUAUUGGGCGUAAAGCGAGCGCAGGCGGUUUUUUAAGUCUGAUGUGAAAGCUUCGGCUCAACCGAAGAAGUGCAUCGGAAACUGGGAAACUUGAGUGCAGAAGAGGACAGUGGAACUCCAUGUGUAGCGGUGAAAUGCGUAGAUAUAUGGAAGAACACCAGUGGCGAAGGCGGCUGUCUGGUCUGUAACUGACGCUGAGGCUCGAAAGUAUGGGUAGCAAACAGGAUUAGAUACCCUGGUAGUCCAUACCGUAAACGAUGAAUGCUAAGUGUUGGAGGGUUUCCGCCCUUCAGUGCUGCAGCUAACGCAUUAAGCAUUCCGCCUGGGGAGUACGGCCGCAAGGCUGAAACUCAAAGGAAUUGACGGGGGCCCGCACAAGCGGUGGAGCAUGUGGUUUAAUUCGAAGCUACGCGAAGAACCUUACCAGGUCUUGACAUACUAUGCAAAUCUAAGAGAUUAGACGUUCCCUUCGGGGACAUGGAUACAGGUGGUGCAUGGUUGUCGUCAGCUCGUGUCGUGAGAUGUUGGGUUAAGUCCUGCAACGAGCGCAACCCUUAUUAUCAGUUGCCAGCAUUAAGUUGGGCACUCUGGUGAGACUGCCGGUGACAAACCGGAGGAAGGUGGGGAUGACGUCAAAUCAUCAUGCCCCUUAUGACCUGGGCUACACACGUGCUACAAUGGAUGGUACAACGAGUUGCGAACUCGCGAGAGUAAGCUAAUCUCUUAAAGCCAUUCUCAGUUCGGAUUGUAGGCUGCAACUCGCCUACAUGAAGUCGGAAUCGCUAGUAAUCGCGGAUCAGCAUGCCGCGGUGAAUACGUUCCCGGGCCUUGUACACACCGCCCGUCACACCAUGAGAGUUUGUAACACCCAAAGUCGGUGGGGUAACCUUUUAGGAACCAGCCGCCUAAGGUGGGACAGAUGAUUAGGGUG